CGCACACAUGCACACACAUGCACGUACACACACACUAUUCCUAAUGUCCCAGCGCUUCCCUAUCUUGAAUAUCAAUUCACUAUUCUUCAGAGCAUUGCUACUCAGAGUGCAGGCUGAGGACUGGCAGCAUCGGUAUCACCUGGGAGCUUGUUUGAAUUGGUCCCAUCUCAGACCAUCCGAAUUAGAAUCUGCAUUUCCCAAGCCCUGGGGGACUCUGUUACACAUUCAAGCCUGAGACGCACUGCUUUAGAGGCCUCCAACGCCAGACGGCUCAGUGUCAAAACACCACCAACAACACACAUCCUAUGGAAAGUGCUACCAGGUGACAUCUCUUCCCUAUUUUGGCUCCAACACUGUCCCCUUUAGCACACAGCUGGAAUCUAAGAUCCGAAGGAGAAGUUUCUUCUGUGGCUUACGAAGAGAUUGAGAGGCUGGAGACAGGUCAUUGUGAGGCUGCCUGUGAGCGCACUCAACGAGGGAGGAAAUACAGGCAAAUUAACUCUGGGGAGGACCGGGGAUGAGGGGCCUCCACGCCUUGUUCCACUUCGGAAGACGGUGCGAUCUCAUUUUGCCCUGUGCGAUUCCUUAGAAGAUACUCAGCUAGAAGAUUCCUCUGUGAGGCUGCUAGUACUUCUCCAGCAGACCAAGCCAGGAGAGCUUUCUCAAAGGUAAGCUGAUUUUCUCAACACCCGUAAUGAAAGUCAGUCACUCACAUAUAUCAGGGACUUCCUGUGUAUGUCAGGCGUGGUUUUAAGUGCUUUGUUACAUGAUCUGAUUUAAUCCUCACAGCAUCCUAUGUGCAAAACAAAUUUCCAAAACUAGAAGUCUUCAUUUACUCAUUUCUUUAAAAAUAAGCAUUUAUUAAGUGUCUCCUAUUGGUCAGGCUCUGCACUGAGUGUUGAGGAUUUGAAGGCAAAAAAAGACACUGAGUACAUGCGGGAAAAUAGGCCCGUAAGUCAGUAGAGUAGAACACAGUCAGAAGGAGGCAGGGUACUGAGUGGCUGGUGCACUGGUUUCUGAUUCAGAGGAACCUGAAUUGGGAUCCCAGCUCCAAUACUUCUAUUGAAUUUCCUUGGGCAAAAUGUGUGACUUCUCCAGGCCUUGGGUGUCUAAUCCAUAAAGUGGCAAUAAUAAUACUGAUUUUACCAGUUGCUUCAAGGAUUAAAAGACACCCACAUGUCACCCACAUAGCAAGGAGCUGACAUCUAGUAUGUACUUAAUAAAUGGUACUACCUACUCAUUAUUACUGUUCAUGCUGUAACCAUUUAGUCAAGUAUUUUAGAAUUACAAAAAAAUUUCAGAACAUGAAGUUUUCAUCUCUAACAUCAAUCUCGCUCCUUACAGAUUCUACCAGAUUUUCCAGGGGUUCUCAAAGAUUGUCUGCAAACCAGCUCUGAUAAAUGAUUGCAGCUUCUUGAGUCUAUAGAGAGAGACCUUUAUGCUCUCUCUACUAGGAAAAUGUUGAAGACAAUAUAUAAAUUUCUGAAAAGAUUUGAAUGAUUUGAUUUGGCAAAAUAAAGAAUUGCCAAUCCUACAUAGAGCUCCAUACACCAAUUUUUAAAAAUAAUUUUAUUGCUUCACAAAAUCUGGGAACCACUGGAUAUAUGAAGUAUCUCUUUUAGCUAAAGCAAAGUCAACUCUCACCCUCGAAAAAAGUUCAUUUUUUGAUCUGUUUUUAUUUUUCUGUGGCAAAAAGUGCUUUUGUGAUGCCUCUAUGAAUAAAAGACUCAUUUUCCUAAGUGAUGCAUCUGCUUUUAAUGUCUUAAAUGCUGGGAUAGAACAGACAUAUCUUCCCUGGUCUGGGUUUUCUUAAAUAGCCAGAAGUCUUCGUGAUGAAGACAAGCAAGCAUCUAAUAGAGAAAUAACUCCAAGACAAAGUGCCGUGGCUGCACGAUGUCGCCUCCCUGACAACCUAUAAAUGGACCAUAUUGAUGAAGUGAACAGGACUCUCUCUGGUCAUUUUCAACUAGAAACUAAUAAUCCCCGUCAUGAUAUCAGGCAUGCAAUAACCUCGGUUAAGACUAGGUUCAUCAAAUAAAUCACUCAGGAAUUUCUCUAUUUCUUUCUCUGGACACAUUGCACAUCUGCUCAAUGAAAGGAAGAAAGAAGCAAUAUUUCUUUGAUCAGGAAUUUUUUUUUAAUAUUCUUGUAUCCAUCCCUUGGGAUACUAUCUUUUCAAGUGGGUGCAGAUAAUACAUCACUUUCUAAUGAAUGUGGAGAAUUUAUGAAUUUAAGCUAUAAAACCAAAUAUGAGGGAUUUUAGUUUAUCUCAAUCUAUAUUUUACACUGUCAUGAGAAAAUAAACCGGACCACA
rnacentral:lncRNA from 1 species